CCCCAGGAGAGGAUGUAGGCCCCUCCGGGACCUCCAAACGCAGCUUCCCUGGGGGUGAUGAGCAGCGUCCGAGACCUCUUGCUUCAGCUUCUCCGCGUUUGGCAAAACAUAAGCUUCUGAGAGUUCCUGGCCACCCACCACCUCCCAGGAGCCUUCACUCCGCCCUUUUCAUCCCGACACCUGACCCAGCUGGGGACGUGAUCAAAUAUCUGAACUCGGAACAGCAUCGUCAGUUUCUGAGGCCGCCAGCAAAUCAUCUACAC